GAUGAACGCUGGCGGCGUGCCUAAUACAUGCAAGUCGAGCGAACAGAUGAGGAGCUUGCUCCUCUGACGUUAGCGGCGGACGGGUGAGUAACACGUGGAUAACCUACCUAUAAGACUGGGAUAACUUCGGGAAACCGGAGCUAAUACCGGAUAAUAUAUUGAACCGCAUGGUUCAAUAGUGAAAGACGGUUUUGCUGUCACUUAUAGAUGGAUCCGCGCCGCAUUAGCUAGUUGGUAAGGUAACGGCUUACCAAGGCAACGAUGCGUAGCCGACCUGAGAGGGUGAUCGGCCACACUGGAACUGAGAAACGGUCCAGACACCUACGGGAGGCAGCAGUAGGGAAUCUUCCGCAAUGGGCGAAAGCCUGACGGAGCAACGCCGCGGGAGGGAUGAAGGUCUUCGGAUCGUAAAACUCUGUUAUUAGGGAAGAACAAAUGUGUAAGUAACUAUGCACGUAUUGACGGUACCUAAUCAGAAAGCCACGGCUAACUACGUG
rnacentral:rRNA from 1 species